AGUCUAAUGAUUAUCCAUUCAUCUUAUUAAAAACACUACCAGCUCCAGAACUCCUUUUCCUUCCUUUCUUCCCUGGAGUGGGAGGUUGGAGGAGCGUUUACCUUCCCAUAGAAAUGAGCACACCAAACCUUUUGUCUCUAAGCUUCUGGCAUUUAGAGCAAACACUGCUUUUCUGGAAUGUUCAGGUUUGUUAAUUCUGAGUCGUGUUGACCUUAGGUCUUCAUCUGAGUACAUCUAACCGUGACAUGAAUGAGGUCAGCUUGUUUCCUGUAAAUAGCCACCCAGUGGAGUUCGGAGUGGCCAAGGCUUACCCUCCCCAUUGUCUUUGAAUGGCUUCUCUGUAGGACCCGUGAUGCAGAAAUGCUGUAUCCAGGUACCUGCGUAUAAAUAACAGCAUAGGCAUAAGGCACUGUAUUCUUUCUUGUGAAUGAGGGCUGAACUGAUUGUGCUGGAAGAUAUUCUGGAAGCGUCUAAAUGGGAUGAUCUUGUCCCUCUCAUGGGACAGACAGCUGGUUGUGCUAAAGGAGCUAGCAAGGACCAUGGACACAAUUGCUCAGAACCUGCAAGUUUCUACAGGCUUGUUUCAUGCACAGUGAGGCUUCAGUAAGGCUUAACAAACAAGACUUCAGGUACGAAGAGGAACAAACUAAGUGAGCGCAAUUUCUCUGACUUUGCUCUGUUGGUUAAAAUUCCUACACUACAAGUACACAGCUUGUCACAUGCAGAGGCAUUUUGUCAGAGGAUUCUCAGCUGACCUUCAUCUCUACUAACACUCAGGUGUGUGGAGCUCAAGAAUAUUCAGUGGACAACAGGAGAAAGCUUUGUUAAUUAUUGAGAUGAACUUUCCUAAAUGCAUACCCUGCCCUCUAUGCGAAUCACGUACAAUAACAAACAAGAACUAUCUUCAAGGCAGGGUGUAUAAAAGAACAACUACGUCUAGGUAUUCGGAUUACGUCUGUUAUUAAUUUUGGUUGGGAGCUCAAAUAGGACAGCUCUUAUUUUCAAAAAGGCUGCUGGGCAGAGCAAUGGGAUGUUGAGAAAAGUACGUGCAGAAAGAAACCCGGGUGUCUUCUCUGUAAGACCCAAGCAACAACGUUGUUAAAAUACUUGGUCUGUAGGGGAGAUGAGGGAUGUCAGCCUGCUGAUGGCAAUUCCUGCUACAAGAUGGCCAGAUAAUCCCCCUUUACUGGGGGCUUUAUUUCCAUAUCUGUUUUG